rnacentral:lncRNA from 1 species
UUGACUAGUUUUUUCUCUGGAAGGGAGGAAUCACGCUGGUCUGAAAAAAAAAAAAAGGAUGAAGAGAGAAAAGAAAAGAAAAAAAAAAAAGAAACGCACCAUUAAGGAGAAGUCUGACCAAUGAUGGAAAAAAUAUGAAGUGUGAUCCGAAUGGAGGAAGGGGACUGUUUCUGCUGUUCCUUCCAUUACUGUGGCUAGAGAGAGGAGCUGAAUGGGGGAUUGAGAAGAGAUUAAGAAAAAAGAAAAAGGAAAGAAGGAGGAGUCCAUGUUUGAAAAAUGAUAUAGGAGACUGUCGUUUGAGAGGAUGGAGGAGGGUUUUCAGAGCGAAAGGAGGCUGCUAUUUUGGAACCCACAUACGCGACUGUUUGCUGAUUCACUGACCAUUCACCCCGCGAUUGGGAAGGUACAGAGGAGAGGGAACGAGAAGAUUUGAAAGGGAAAGAAGGGAAACAAGAUUUGGACUCACCGACGGUAAGAUUCUGAACACCCAGACUAUUUUGGUCAACCUUGCCGCUGAAGUUGAUGUAGCCAAGUCGGAGUUGGUGUUUGCGUUAUCUGAAUUUUCCUGUCGCAUGAAUCUUCUGAAUCUUCCUUUGGCUGAAAACCGGGAACCAUCCAAACAACAGCCCACCCAUCCAUACUUCCUUGAAAACGAUUUGAAAGAAUAAUAUUGGCUGAAGAACUAAAACUCGAUCAACUCUCAUCAACUCGUACACCAUUGUUCCCGAGCACCAUUGGAGAAGAAAAAACAACUACACACUACCAGGUUGUUU